GACAGUUUGUCCGAGUGGUUAAGGAGUCAGACUUGAAAUCUGAUGGGGUUUCCCCGCACAGGUUCAAAUCCUGUAGCUGUCG
rnacentral:tRNA from 1 species